GUGAGGAAUUUUGCGCAAUGGGGGCAACCCUGAUCCAGCGACGCCGCGUGAGUGAUGAAGGCCUUCGGGUCGUAAAGCUCUGUUGCAGGGGAAGAACACAAUGACGGUACCCUGCUAGAAAGGAUCGGCUAACUUCGUGCCAGCAGCCGCGGUAAGACGAGGGAUCCUAGCGUUGUUCGGAAUUAUUGGGCGUAAAGCGGGUGCAGGUGGCUUGGUAAGUCAGAUGUGAAAGCCUGGGGCUUAACCCCAGAAGUGCAUUUGAUACUGCUGAGCUUGAGUGCUGGAGAGGCUAUUAGAAUUCCUGGUGGAGUGGUGAAAUACGUAGAUAUCAGGAGGAAUACCGGAGGCGAAGGCGGAUAGCUGGCCAGACACUGACACUCAGACCCGAAAGCGUGGGGAUCAAACAGGAUUAGAAACCCUAGUAGUCC
rnacentral:rRNA from 1 species